AGCACCUCAAGUGGUCAGGAGGAUUAUUGGGCCUAAAGCAUCCGUAGCCGGCUCUGCAAGUUUCCGGUUAAAUCCAUUCGCUCAACGAAUGGGCUGCCGGAAAUACUACAUAGCUAGGGAGUGGGAGAGGUAGACGGUAUUCGGUAGGAAGGGGUAAAAUCCUUUGAUCUAUUGAGGACCACCUAUGGCGAAGGCAGUCUACCAGAACACGUUCGACGGUGAGGGAUGAAAGCUGGGGGAGCAAACC
rnacentral:rRNA from 1 species